AACUUUUAAUAACGGAUUUCUUAGUUCUAAUAUCGAUAAAGAAUGUAGUAAAAUGUAAUAAGUAAUAUAAAUUGUAAAAUUUAGUAAAUUAUUGAAUUUUUAAAUGUAUAUUGUGUUUGUUAAUAUUUUAGCGAGUAUAUUUAUUCGAACGUUA
rfam:Neurospora crassa OR74A unplaced genomic scaffold supercont12.8, whole genome shotgun sequence.